UACGUAGGGUGCGAGCGUUGUCCGGAAUUAUUGGGCGUAAAGAGCGUGUAGGCGGUUCGGUAAGUCUGUUGUGAAAUCUUGGGGCUCAACCCUGAGCGUGCAACGGAUACUGCCGGGCUAGAGGGUGGUAGAGGCAAGUGGAAUUCCGAGUGUAGCGGUGAAAUGCGCAGAUAUUCGGAGGAACACCAGUAGCGAAGGCGGCUUGCUGGGCCACACCUGACGCUGAGACGCGAAAGCUAGGGGAGCGAACAGG
rnacentral:rRNA from 1 species